rnacentral:rRNA from 1 species
GAUGAACGCUGGCGGCGUGCCUAAUACAUGCAAGUCGAGCGAACAGAUGAGGAGCUUGCUCCUCUGACGUUAGCGGCGGACGGGUGAGUAACACGUGGAUAACCUACCUAUAAGACUGGGAUAACUUCGGGAAACCGGAGCUAAUACCGGAUAAUAUAUUGAACCGCAUGGUUCAAUAGUGAAAGACGGUUUUGCUGUCACUUAUAGAUGGAUCCGCGCCGCAUUAGCUAGUUGGUAAGGUAACGGCUUACCAAGGCAACGAUGCGUAGCCGACCUGAGAGGGUGAUCGGCCACAGUGGAACUGAGACACGGUCCAGACUCCUACGGGGGGCAGCAGUAGGGAAUCUUCCGCAAUGGGCGAAAGCCUGACGGAGCAACGCCGCGUGAGUGAUGAAGGUCUUCGGAUCGUAAAACUCUGUUAUUAGGGAAGAACAAAUGUGUAAGUAACUAUGCACGUCUUGACGGUACCUAAUCAGAAAGCCACGGCUAACUACGUG